UGAUAGUUAGUGAUCGGAGAAGAUAGCCUUUAAGUGCCAUAUUUAGGGUACUAACUGUAAUUUAAAUGCACAAUUCAAUCAGAUAUUUAUGAGUUUGAAGUUGUUCUGAUAUUUCUUGAAAAGAUUUGUGUGGUGGACAUUGAGGGAAUUUAUUCCUUUAUCUUUUACUUAGAUGAAAUGUACCUCCCAUCUUGCUGGGUGUAAAAAGCAAGAAGUACGGUGGUUUCUGAUAGUGAUAUGUGUACGAAUUUCUCCAAAAUUAACAUGUGAGAAAUGGCCUUGCUUCUAACUCCAAAAUUAAUAUGACUUUAAAUUUGCUUUUUUAGAGUCUGCGUCCUUUGCUGAUGUUAGGUCCAGAUUUCAAAUAAAUCCGUGUUCAUGGCGGAUUAAAGAUUGUUAACAUUAAAUUUAGAUUUAAUGAUAACAAUUUAUACAUUUAAUUUGAUUGCCAACUCCUAUUAAUUUGAAAUUAAGGCUUUGUUGUUUUUGUAUGUGAUAUGCAAACUUGUCGAGAUUUGUUUGUUGGCUUCCUAUUCUUCAAUUUGAAUUAUUGAGUUCAUUAACUUACUUUCCAAUCUAAGGUUAUUGAGGACUUAUUUAAUAAAAAAUGAAAAAAUAGAAAAUAAGAAAUUUGUUAAGGCAAUUCAAAAUACAUUUUAAAAAAUUGCACUAUUUUUCAUAUGUAAUUAGCUCCAAAACUUAAAUUGAAUUUUUGCAAUUAUGAUGCAGGAGCUGCAAGAUAGG
rnacentral:misc_RNA from 1 species